CCCAGACUCCUACGGGAGGCAGCAGUGGGGAAUAUUGGGCAAUGGGCGCAAGCCUGACCCAGCAACGCCGCGUGAAGGAAGAAGGCUUUCGGGUUGUAAACUUCUUUUGUCAGGGACGAAGCAAGUGACGGUACCUGACGAAUAAGCCACGGCUAACUACGUGCCAGCAGCCGCGGUAAUACGUAGGUGGCAAGCGUUAUCCGGAUUUAUUGGGUGUAAAGGGCGUGUAGGCGGGCUGCGAAGUCAGCGGUAAAAUUGGGGGGCUACACCCCGGCGAGCCGUUGAAACUGGCGGGCUGGAGUUGGAGAGAAGUACGCGGAAUGCACGGUGUAGCGGUGAAAUGCUUAGAUAUCGCGCAGAACCCCGAUUGCGAAGGCAGCGUACCGGCUCCACACUGACGCUGAGGCACGAAAGCGUGGGUAUCGAACAGGAUUAGAUACCCGGGUG
rnacentral:rRNA from 1 species